rnacentral:rRNA from 1 species
GUGGGGAAUAUUGGACAAUGGGCGCAAGCCUGAUCCAGCCAUGCCGCGUGAGUGAUGAAGGCCCUAGGGUUGUAAAGCUCUUUCAGUGGGGACGAUAAUGACGGUACCCACAGAAGAAGCCCCGGCUAACUUCGUGCCAGCAGCCGCGGUAAUACGAAGGGGGCUAGCGUUGUUCGGAUUUACUGGGCGUAAAGCGCACGUAGGCGGAUCGUUAAGUCGAGGGUGAAAUCCUGGAGCUCAACUCCAGAACUGCCUUCGAUACUGGCGAUCUUGAGUCCGGAAGAGGUGAGUGGAACUCCUAGUGUAGAGGUGGAAUUCGUAGAUAUUAGGAAGAACACCAGUGGCGAAGGCGGCUCACUGGUCCGGUACUGACGCUGAGGUGCGAAAGCGUGGGGAGCAAACAGGAUUAGAAACCCCUGUAGUCC